AUCUCGAGAUCUGAUAAAUAAAUCAUAUCAUGAAGAGAGGAUCUUGAGCUAGUUCUGACAAAUAAUUACUAAUAAACAUUCUAAAACAUUGUGUUUUAGUAUUUCCAAUCGAUGGAGAAGGAAUUGAGGAUUAUUAUUACCUUAGAGACGUAAUCAUGGAAGCCCGAAGGGAGCUCUUGGUGUUACUGUGCUUCACUGGGCAUAUUAUUCAUUGUAUUUUGGAGAUGAGCCACUCAAUCUUCCACCUAUCCUUAUAUCGUAAGGAUAUUUCAAUGAGCCAAUCCGAGGGACUUAAUCUCACAUGAAAGUUUCUCCAGACUUCUUCCUCCACCCUCCUAAGGAUCGGGGUAAUUUUUAAACAUCGGUAGUAUUUUGGAUCUGCAUGUUCCAUGCCAUCGCUAAUACCAAGCCGUUCAAACCUUCGUCUUGUGAUUGAAAGAGUCCUUCUCUUCACAACCAAUAUUAACUCUCGAUGCUUGCCUUUUCAUUUUGUUAGGAAUGACUUCUAAUGCAAUGAAUGAAGAGAUCGGAGGACCAAGAUAAUUACUUUUGAAAUCUCGUCCAGAGAAUAUCCGCCGUGUUCUAUGGUAUAGAAAGAAGUUAUUCAACACGGGGUUCCCGUCUGAUACAUAUAGGCCUGCAGAAAUAGUCCCUGCGCUACUAAGGAACUCACUCCUACUGUUCAGUCGAGGAUUAUAAUUAACUGGUUCGUUUGAACCUAGUAAAGGGUUGACAUUCUCAAUAAUGGAGCUUCAUACUGAGCACAUCUUCCUCCAAUGAUGACCCGAUCUUUUCACACUCUAAACAUUUCAGAUAGACCCAUAUAAAAAAAUAUGUUUCAAAGACAAUUGUGCGAAUUUUUUAUUAUCAAAUGAGAUUGUGUCGAACAGGCAUUUUGCCGAAUGUACAUUUUACCCAACAGAUAUUUCGCAAAAGGACCAUUUGGCAUAUUUGUCCGAUAAAUGAUAUUGUAAUAUAAAUAAGCUACUUAAUGUUAUUAUGUAGAAAAAAAUAUUUUUUUAAAUUAUUUUCAUUCAUGAUCAUUAUAGAACACAACACAAAA
rnacentral:lncRNA from 1 species